CCGACCUUAGCUCAGUUGGUAGAGCGGAGGACUGUAGUUGGCAACAAACCUAAUAGAAAUCCUUAGGUCGCUGGUUCGAAUCCGGCAGGUCGGA
rfam:Cajanus cajan chromosome 7, whole genome shotgun sequence.